AAUGCAAUAGUAUUACCAGGAUGCCACCCAGGACAUAAACACUUUGGUGGAAAGCUGCUGCCAUCCCAUUGUGRCAAAAGCAKCAGUGUUGCGUCUCCACAAGCAAUCGAUGACGACACUUGAGGUACGUAUAGACGGGCAAUGUGUUAUCAUUUUAACUUCCACUUUCCAAGAUGAUGUUUCUGUAUGCAGUGCUGCUGCUCUGCACAUUUGUAGAUAAGUGAGUGCUGCUGCUCUGCACAUUUGUGCACUAUCCUUCUGACCCUAUGCAGCAAAGUCCCAUCUACUUUUUAACUCCUCGCACGUGUGGCUUGUUUGAGGUCUGCUGUGAAGGAAUACCACAACAAGUCAACCACUCAGUCUUCCAGAGAUUUGAGACUGGG